UACGGAGGGUGCAAGCGUUAUCCGGAUUUACUGGGUUUAAAGGGUGCGUAGGUGGGUAGGUAAGUCAGUGGUGAAAUCCCCGAGCUUAACUUGGGAACUGCCAUUGAUACUAUCUGUCUUGAAUGUUCUGGAGGUGAGUGGAAUAUGUCAUGUAGCGGUGAAAUGCUUAGAUAUGACAUAGAACACCAAUUGCGAAGGCAACUCGCUACGGAAUGAUUGACACUGAGGCACGAAAGCGUGGGGAUCAAACAGG
rnacentral:rRNA from 1 species